GAGACAAGGGCAAUUACACGCCUGCUCAUCCCGACGCCUGUCUUCUGUUAAAAUAGCAAAUUACCGUGAGAUAGUCAUCAUCACAUUUCAUAUAGGAGGUGUUUUAUGAUGUUUGGUCAAGGUAAAGAGACGGCUUGUUAUUUAAGUUAAUGUUCUGGGAAUAUACCUUGAGGCUGGAUGUGUCAAUCAUACAGAUGAAAAAUGGAUGAUUAGUUUUUUUCCUCCUCCUCUGUGCUCGUUUUUGUUUUUUCUUUUCUUUUACAGCUGCUGAAGUCCAUCUGUUUCCCGACACUUAAACAAAAAACACCUCAAUGCCUAAUUAAGCAAACAACGUCGGCAAAGUGGCCUUUUGAGAUCUCACGUCCCCUGUGGUAAGCAGCUCUUUCUGUGUGUUUCCUCUCCGUCACGGCGGUUAGAUAAUAUCUCGCAGGCUCGUUGACUAUUUCUGCGCCGCGACUUCACGUCGAAGGUUCAGCUCGCUUUAAUAGCCGCUUGUCAGCCUGUCAGUCGACGGGAUGGUGCUCGUUACUGUUGUUUUCUUCUGAAUGGGCCUGACAUUUUGGAGAAAACUUUUCUUCGGGGCUGUGUGAAAAUGACUGCCUGUGACUGCUGACCAUCAAACAAACAACACGCUCCUGCAGAGGAGACUAUCUGCAGGUUGAAAACAAGAUAAGAACGACAGACAGAGUGAAGCCGAAUGUUUUGCAAAAUAUCCACAAAAACGUUUGGUGAUAUUGUAUGAGUCAUUAUCUCAGUCAGGAAAACUCACUCUGAUGGUGUUAUGGGUGCAGACUGAACCAUUUGAACAUGAUUUCUGCUUUGUAAGGCGAACCAUAGUGUUUUUUCAGCCACAUCUGAGAUACGUCCUCAUUCUGUCCCUCGGCUUUUCAGACGCAAACACACAUCUGUCUCCUACUGCUCCUCUCCCUGCUCUCCUCUCCCCAGCUGUGGCUGCCAUAGACUGUAUAUAGAAUGGACGCCGUCUGCCUCCUCGCUGGGUGAAGCCACCGUGAGAACAGGCCAGAAGAGUUGUCCAAGAGCCAAGGACCACUUGUGAAGAGCUUCAGAAAGACCUGGAAUUAACAGGUACAACUGUUUCAAAGAAAACUAUAAGUAAUGCAGUCAAUGCCAUGGCCUGUGUGCACGCUCACCACUCAAGACUCCAUUGCUGAAGUAAAAGCAUGUUGAAGCCCGUUUAAAGUUUGCUGCACAACAUUUAGACAAGAUCCAAUACUACUACUGUUGAAUGAAUGAACUGUAUAGCUUGCCCUGUGAGUGAAGACAUCAGGCUUGACAUUAGCCUUGUUAAAAAAAAAGGUAACAAAUUAACACAGAUAUAUUACUUAUUAAAAAAUUACACAUUAGCACACAGCAAAAAGAAGUAAGACGUCCAUGUAAACAUUUAGUGCAAAAGGAUAGACAGACUAAGGCUACAUUCACACUGCAGGUUAUGAUGCACAAUUCGGAUUUUUUGUUAAAUCCGAUCUUUUUGUGCGGUCGUUCAUAUUACAACAACAAAUUGGCAUCUAAUGUGAACGGAAUGCGUCCAUGAAGUGACCUGCAUGCACACAAAUCACAAAUUGCUCUCCGUGCCUGUUUGUGUUGUCAAACAAUGGUGACGUUUGCCGCAUAUUGAUGACGUAUAGGUCGGAUGAACAUGCCUGAGCGUCCACACUGCAGUCACAUCGGAUACAUAUCUGUUUCAUAUCCACAUACAAAAGAGGCCUGGGUCGGAUUAGAACAAAUCCGAAUUGCACUGUUCACACUUAGAUGAAAAAAUCAGAUAUGUGUUACCUAUGGUUAAAAAAAACGGAGUUGACCUGCAGUGUGAACAUAGCCACAGACUAUAGAGUGAACAGAAUCGCUGUGUUGCUGUGUAUGAUAUCAAUUAAAAGAAAAAAAAAAAUUGUCAAUAUCGGAGCCAAUAUCUGAUCCAAAUAUCUGAUCAGUGCAUCCCUAAUAUAUAUGUUAAUCACGACAUGUAACUCUGAUUUCGAUGUGCAUCAGGUGAAAGUUUUGAUUGCCCACUUUUGUUUGGACUGUUGCAGUUCAGGGAGCCGGUUUAGCUCUGGGUCAGCUCAUAACACUCGGUAGGAUUGCAGCUCGUUGCCUCAUACAGACUCCAUAUCUCGGUUUGUGACAAAUUUUUAUUUAUAGCCGGAGCGUACAAAUGAUGUGCAGCUCUGCAGAGAAUAACAAGAGCAUGGCCCACAUUAUCCCUGUCACCUCCAAGUGCACUGCAAGCAUUUCCUCAGCUCAGUGUUUCUGCUUAUCACUCCAUGGCGAGGAGCUGCUGCCACACAGCAGCCGCCUAAUGAUGUUGCCCUGGUGGUUAUCAUUUACUGAGGAGACCUGUCCCCUCUAGGGGAGGGAAGGGGGGGUCAGGGUGACUUACAGUGCCUGAGACGGAGCUGUUUGAGAGGAGAUGCAGCUGCUGGUGCUUUUCUACAGGCUGUUUUUACUGUCCGAGAAGAUCAUCAGAUAAACUCAGGGUUCAUGCACUGCAAAUUAUUAUUUCAGAUUAUUAAUUUCUCUUGUUUUAAGACUUAAUUUCUUAUUUUAAGUGUUUAACUUUACACUUGUACACUUAUAUCAAGCACAACCUUAUGUUUUUUGUCUUCAAUAGGCAGGAAAUCUUAAAAUGAGAAAAAUAACUGUUAUAAUAAGUUCAAGUCUCAUCAGAAGGAAUCUUGUUUUAAGAUUAAAUAAGCCUUGUUUCGAGAUCAGCCUGCUUGGAUUGAGACAGAGUUUAGUCAUUCUUCACUAAUACCGGGUGUUUUUUCUCUAAAUUUCUAUUUUUUGUUUAACUUAUCUACAGCUUAAUUUGCUAAAGGUAAGACAAUAAAAUAUGUAAUUGCUUUUAUUUAGUAAAUUUCACUUAUUUUAAUGCUUUCAAAGUUAAAUUUCAAGCACUCUGAUCUUAAAACCAGCAUUUUAUACUUAUUUUAUGAUUAUAUUUGGUACAUUUCACUUAUUUCAGGGCUGUAAAAGUUAAAAUUCAAGUAAUCUGAUCUUAAAACCAGCAUUUUAUACUUAUUUUAUGCUUAUAUUUAAGUACAUUUUACUUAUUUUAGGGCUGUAAAAGGUUAAAUUCUAAGUAAUCUGAUCUUCAAAUCAGCAUUUUUGGCUUAGUAUAAGCCUUCUAAAUACAUUUGUAGACAUGCUUAUUUCUAGAUUUAACGAUCUUAAUUCAAGAAAUCUUGUCAAGUGAAAUUAUCUCGCUGCAUGGACGGAUAAUUUCACUUGUUUUUAGUACCUUUUUCCUCAGAUUUAGUGUUUUUAUCUUGUUUUUAAAACCCCCCGUUUUUUGCAGUGUGAUGGUUGAAGACAAGAUGCAUGAGAUUUAGCCGUGUGAAAAUAUACUUGUGUAUACAUGCAUUAAUCUGAUCUUAAGUCCCCUCUUACGGAUGUUCACCUGUUUUCUACGCCCAGACCGUAGCUGGCUUUUCAUAACAACACUCGCGCACACGAUACUUUUACACACUCUGGAUGUGAGCACCUUUAAAAGCCUAAGCUGUAGAGCUGGGAAAGCUUGUGGAUAAAGUCUCCCAAUCCCUUUGACCCUUGAAAUCCUGGAUUUAUCUCCAGGAAUACUACUGGGUCAUGAAAAACUAAGGGCUGGUUUUUGUGGAGAGAGUGGGAUUCAUAUGGGCGAGGCACGUUUGUGCUGUUAUCCUUUAGGGGGAGAUGUCCAGAGCAUUUACAGUGGGUGGGGUCGUGAUAUAGAGCAGACUAUGACUGUACAAUGUUACACUUCCUCUAAGCCUGUGUUGGUUGAACUUGGAGUAAUCUCUUAUUUUUCAUUGAGGAAGCUAAUGUUGGACAGUUUCAGGAUUACAUAUUGCAAAGAAUUGGGGGUUUUAUUGAAAACCAAGUACAAAAUGACAAAGUACAAGAGGAACAAGGCUGAAUUCAGUUGUACGGCUGUGAUCUGUGUGUGGCAUUUAGACAUGACUCUAAAGUGGAAAUCAACGUAUAGAAUGAAAAUCACCUCCAAAAUAAUGGUUUCUGCAAGAAGUCAUAUUUUGGGCGUUUUUGGCUUUUAUUAGACAGGACGGAUGAAGAGAGACAAAAAACUUGGGGAGCAAGAGACUGUGGCCGCAAAUCAAACCCACGAUCGCUUCGAUGACGAGUUUAGCCUGAAUACAUUGGCCAUCAGCGUAAUGAUAAACGUAAUCCAGAUUCACCAGCAAACUCUCUGAACCCCAGACCACUGAAGAUGGACUGAGGUUCAAGUAAAAAACUUUUCUGUGACACUCUUUUUGGAAAUCAUGGACACUACAUCUGUUAAUUUCAGACGGGAGGAGCCCCUGGUAUGGUGUCAACACACGCUUUUCUAUGAUACGACAAGCUUACAUGUGCUUCCAUUCAGACAAGGAAAGACUUUGAGUGUAUAUUUUCCUUAAAGAAUAAAUAAACAAACAUCCGUUUUAACAUUUAACAUGCUGUAUUUGCUUUUUUUCAGUUAAGUAAAGGAUUGAAAUGAUUUGAUGCUGUUUUUAUAUCAACAUUUUCACAGCGUCUCAGCCCCUAUGGAGCUGAGGUUGUGUGUUUUCUGUGUAAUUAGAGUCUUUGACCACCACCACUGUCUUUAAAUAUUAAUUUCUUAGACCAUGUCUGAUGUUAUAAUGUAAUCCUUUUCAUCUACCAGCUGCAGCGUUGUUGAUUCAACUUUAGUUUUUUCAUGCUUGAACAUGAUUUGAUCUCACAUGUCGAACCAAAUAUGAACAGUUACAGAGAAGAACAAGAAGCUAUAACGCUGUUUAAGUGUAACGUGAGGUUUAAAUGUAUUAAAUGUAUUAAUCCAUCUUAAAUGAAGCAAUAUUAUUACUUUGGAUAGAAAAUGUUCAGUUGUAGUACCUCUAUCUGUCUGGAUGUGACUCACUUUAUAUAAUCUUUUAGGUCUCUUAUGCUGCGUUCCAGUUACCCCAGAAGUCGGAUGUCUGAGCUGGGAAUGACUUUAUACCCGAGUUGACGGCGUUCCAGUUAACAAGUCAAAAAACUAAGAUGGACGCCUACUGUUACCCGUUAUUAGCUGUUGUUUACAAUUGUCAGCUGUUGUUAGCCGUUGUCAGUUGUUGUUAGUGAUACCAGUUGUUAAUGGCGUGUAACACAGUAUUUUACUCUUACAAACACCAUAGCAUCGUGUUCACAGUUAGACGUUGGGCAGUACAACAUAAACCACUUGUUUAAUUUCACAAAAACAAAACAGAAGUGCUGAUAAAUAAUACAUUACAAGAGCUUUAACUGUUACUCUUUACUGUUGAUGCACUGCGCUGCCGUCUUUGAAUUAUGACGUUGUCGUCGGGUCGCGAUUGGUGAGGAUCGUCCAACUUUCCGAGUCAGAAAUUUAACUUUAGGGGGGGCGUUCCAGAUAAAUUUCCGACUCGGAGCUCAGAAAAUUCCGACUUCUGAGUACAACUGGAACGCAGCAUAACUGUAGAUCUUCCUGGGAGUCCCUGAGCUCCCUCGUCUCGUAGCUUACUCUGGAUUGCUGCUGCAGAUUUUCAUCAAGUAUUCAUGUGUUAAUAUUAAAUGCGCCAUUAUUAAUUCUCUAAAGAUUUCAGAUCCUGAUAGCUUCGUUCCAACCUGUUAUGUUGAUAAAAAUCGAUGUUGCACCCCUUAUGUUUUCAUUAGCCUCUGCACGCAGCCCUGUAUCCCUCCACAGGAGAAAAAUAAUUCAUUUGAAAUGUACCCGACACAUUUGAAUGUUCAUGUGAACAAUGACAAGUGGAGUAGAGAGCACAGUACCUCAGAACAGCAGCGUGGAGUGCUGUUAGUGGUCAUUACCGAGCCCACUUUAGGAUCCAACACCACACAGGAAUAACAAGCCAGCGCCUGCAGAGAGUAAUAACAUCUUACUGCUCCUGUGGCCACUUCUGGCUCGGUCCAGUGCUUAACUCUGCAAUCUAAUAGGAAAUGUUUUCUUUUCUGCUCCCUCUGAUAGCUUUUUAAUUGGUUUCAGUGACAUUGUCACCCCUUUCCCUCUACAGCCCGGAGACCAUGUUGUGUUUACUACAGCAAAGGAGCCCAGUAAUGUAAUCAUGAAAUAAUCAUAAUUAGAAAAACAUAAUUGUGAGCGCUUAUUUGGUUUAAAAUGACCCAGAGGUAAUCUCUCAAAACACAUUCUUGUUGAUAGAUGGUUUAGAAACACAGUUAAAAACAAGCAGUAAUGAGGCUCCAGGCCUUCUACUGAGAGUCACAACAACGUCUCUAACACACUCCUCUGGGCUUUCACUGUGUGCAACCUUCCCGGCUGUAAUAAUGCACAACUUUUUCUGGUUGCUGAGCUGAAUUAUUGUGCCUGCGUUUAACUUUACUGCAAUGUCACGACGAUGUCUUUAAACAUCGCUGCAGAGCAACAUCAGGAAAAGCUGAAUUAACAUAUAAAAGUGCAGAAACAAAACCCACUGAAACUAAUCAGCUGGCUUUUUAUAAGAUGUAUACAACUAUUUCAUAUGAGAAACCGUAGCUGGUUAUGAUGCCUCCUUGAAAAGUGGCAUUUAUUCUCCGCAAUCUGAUUCCCUUCAUUCUCUCCCCUCGAGUCUUACAUACACAGAAGAAGAAAAAGACGGCUCGUUCUUAAACUUUAAUGAACCCAAUAAGACAUUAAAGAGAGCCAAAUGUCAUUUUCCUGUUUGCAACAUCUGCUGCCUCCUAAAAGGGAGCACAUUCUGUCCAAACUUAGCAACAAACAGACCCUUAACUCAUCUACAUCAUGUUCCCUCUUCUGCGGAGGCGGUAAAUUAUUUUAAGCCGGUUCAGCUCCCAAACAUAACUUCGGUCGAGCACUUAAAUCAAAGUUAUUCAAGGCGGUGGUGCCCAAACUUUUUUCUGCGGUAGAUGAGAAUCUUCAACAUCCACAUCAACACAUAAAUCAGAUAAAUCCUCUGCAAGCAAAUUCCUGUAUUUUAAGAAUCAACUGCAGCAUCAUCCAAUAAAUCUGGAGAAUUGUGACAUAGAACUGAAGACAACUUUUACCAAGGAUGCAAUUACAAGUUAUUCACACUUGUAGCCUCCAAAGCUGGUGAGGAUCUAAUCCCCCGGUUUGGACACCAAGGUUUGAGUGAAGACAGUAAGUGAAUCUGCUCUCUUGGAGCUUGUUAUGUUUGAGUUGUAGCACCAGAUCUCAUUCAUUAUUAAUCUUAAUCAUAGUUAGCGUGGCACUACUACCUCCUGUAUGUUCUCUUCAUACACUAAAACAAGGUCUCUGCAGAGAACCAGUGCAUGCUGGGAAGCCGGCUGUGUAAAGUGCUUCACUCUGAUUGGUUUGAAAAGCAAAGGCGAUGCUGGGAACUGAUCACACACAUGGGAAGGAGUUAUUGCACAUCUAGUAUCGACUUUUUUAAAGUUACCUUGAGAUGCAAACUGACGCUUUGCCACUAUGUUUUCAGAAACUAACAGAAACUCACAUUUUUGCCACAGUGUCAACAGGCAGUGGUGUGAACAGAUUAUCCUCGGCCUUAAUUGUUGCUGCUUUGAGUUAAUUAUAAUUAUGUUGAGUGAUAAGACAUUAUGUAAUGACGUCAUUAAGCAGAAAGCAAUCAUGGGAGUUGUAGUCUUUUAAUAUAAAACACAGCCGCAUGGUUAAUUAAAAUGUAAUUGACUCAGGAGGAAAUAGAAUUGACAAAGUCAUUUAAUCAAGCUUCUUUUUUAUUUUUGGUUUAUUUAUAAUUUAUGUCAUUUAAAUCUUCCGAAACAGCAGCAGGUUAAACAAGUUCACAUCCUGACGUGACGUGUGGCGCAUCCUUGAUUCUGCAGACAGGAACAUCAGCCUCACCGACAUUAAUGACAUAAAGCGAAAAUUUACUACUUUUGGGCCUGCAGGCUGUAAUCACAUUAAACUAAUUUAACAUAGUCUAUAAUUACUUAUAUCCUGAUCCUGAAAACUGAAUUCAUAUUUUUUCAUCAUUUCUUGCUCUGCAACCACAACUUUGCAUGAGCUGUUGUUCUUGUUGUUGCUGUUUUAAUGUUGCUGCUGUCCCCUGUCUCUCUCUCUCUCCCUCCCUCUCCCUUCCUCAUUCUCUCUCUCCUUCCUUCUCUCUCGUUCUCUUUCUCUCCCCCUGCCCUCUCUCCACUUCUCUCUCUCUUUCUUCCUCCCUAUCUCUCUGUACUUCUCCCCAGCCCAGCAGCGGCUUGGUGGCUGUCUAACAUGACUUUGGUCCCACCCAAGGUUUCUGCCUGUUAAAAGGAAGUUUUUUCUUGCUACUUUCACUCAUGUUAGAUGAGAUGGGUCAAAUCUUUCGCAUCUUAAGGUUGGGUCUCGAUAAUUCAUCAAACAAUCAGCGUGGUCCAGACCUGUGUUUUUCAACCUCUUUUUGAGCCAUGGUACGUUUUUUUCAUAGAAAAAAAUCACGAGGCGCACCAACAACCAAAAACGUUACUGAAUGACACUUGGUAGCCCAAAAUACAGUUUACACAAUGACGAUAAAGUCUCUCAAUUGAUUCAUACUAACCCAGUGUGAAACCUGGGGCUGUAGAUUACAGCACAGACACUUGAAAAUUGCAUGUUAUGUGCAGAUAAUAAGUAAUUUAAAAAAGAUAAUAAUUUAGACCAAUUAAGUGAAAUUGGAUAAUUUCUCAGGGUUCACUAACUAAGUCUGGUUGAAAAACACUGGUCUAGACCUGCUCUUUUUCUUUGGAGAGCAUCUUGGGGAAAAAACGACUGUUGUGAAUUGGCGCUAUAUAAAUAAAAUUUGAUUGAUUGAUUUGAAACAUUCACCAACCUUGAACCGACCUACAAAAUCUUAGAUUUCUCUGCUUGUACUGGUGUAAAAACACAGUUUUAGUGAAAUAUAUGACAAAUAUCUCAUGUUAAGAACAACUUUUUUUCAUGCAUUAGUGUUACACAAUUUGAGAACCAAGUCAGAAAAACUCAAUUUUACAAUCUUUUAUGAAAAGCUAAAGCUCAUUGUCGAGUAUGUCUAUAUAAGUGCAGCAUUUCAGCUUUAUUGUCAUGAUAUAUUUAUUUAUUUGAUAGACACAGUUGGGUUCACAAACGAACAGUAUAGCCUGAUAAAUAUUUCAGAUGAAAUUCUGUAACCUAGCAAACAAAAGUGUGAACUCCAACUGUACUUCCUCUCCUCCAAACUUCUUCAAAAGUUCUCCAAAAUCAAGAGAAUCCCAGAUAAAAACAACCCCACAAUGUCAUUGUCAGGCAGCUUUGCUUUUAAGGCAGUGACAUGUGCUCUCUGUGGGGACACCAGCAGUCUGGAUGAGCUGUGCACAAGUUGUCAGGCAUCCAGAUAAAUCUUCUCAGAGCUCCACGCUGCUUAGACCACCCAGGAGGAUCUGGCCCGGAGGUUCGUCAAGGACAGCCAGAGGCGGAUUCAGGACUGGCCCUCAGCCUUAUUUUUUUCCCAAAGUGGGCUGUCUUUUGCAGAUUCACUUCUACGUGUUUCCCCCUCUGUGUGAUGUUCGUGCCUGUGUGGUGGAGCUGUAAGUAGGGCAGAGAUUGUCUGUCAUGCGUUUUCUGCCUAUCUGGACUUGGUGUAAACAGAGCGGAAAGUGGAAGCGCAGCCUCGUGCGGACUUUGCUUCUCUGGUCGAUGAUGACAGAGGGGGGAAAGGAUUGGAUCCAGAGAGCACCUGGAGUUAAUGACAAAAAAUUUUACACUCAUACGCAACGUGAAGGGUCCUGCAGGAUCAGAGUCUGCCACAGACACUUAGAGGCUACAUUUGUCACAAGCAAAGAACGGGGAGAAAGCAGGCUGUGUCGCCUGUUAGAGAGUCCUUUGUGGCAGCAGUUUGUAUCAAUCAGACUGUCCUGACAGCAGCAUGAGGCAGGAAGAGAAACAGAUGCCGACUGUCCUCACUGCACAGAAAGUGCAUGUGAUGUCUGCAUGUGAUGUCUGCAGUUUGCUGUCGACACUCGCAUCAAGUAUUUUUUAAUGUGUUACCUGUAUGGGAACUAUUACAUACCUGGACUAUUUCAGUCUUGUCUUUAAUUUUACUUAAAACUCAGAGUACCUACUUUCCUGCUCUAAUGAUACACAUGUAAAUGGAGUAUGACCUGUAGUAGAACAGUGCAAAACAAUGGGAUAUGACACAAUACAACACAGUUCCAUACAAUGCUACAUGUUUUGACGCAACUUUACACUACACUAUGUUAUACUAUGCUACGCUACACUAUGCUUUGAUAAGAUACGCUACAAUACAUUACGCUAUGAUAUGUUACGCUAUGAUAUGUUACGCUAUGAUGUGUUACGCUAUGAUGUGUUACGCUAUGAUGUGUUACGCUAUUACGCUAUGAUGUGUUCCACUAUGUUACACCGCGAUAGGUUAAGCUUCGAUAGGUUAUGCUAUGAUACAUUACGCUAUGAUACGUUACACAAUGAUACGCUACGCUAUAUGUUACGCCACAAUAUGUUACGCCGCGAUGUCAUGCCACAAUAUGUUAUGCUACAAUAUGUUAUGCUACGAUAUGUUAUGCUACGUUAUGUUACACUAUGUUAUGUCACGCUAAGAUGCGUUACAUUUCGAUACGAUACGCUGAGAUACGUAAGGCUAUGAUACGUUUUGCUAUGAUACAAUAUCCCACGAUAUGUUAUGCUCCGAUACGUUAAGAUUUGAUAUGUCACGGUUGAUAUGUUACGAUUUGAUAUAAGCUAUGAUACAGUACCAUAAACAUUAUGUUACAAUACAAUACGUUGUGAUAAAAUAUAUGAUAAAUUACGAAACCAAAUGAUAUGGUAGGAUACGAUACCACAGGAUAUAACAGGGUACAACAUGAUUUAUAAUACAAUAAGAUACUGUACAAAACAAUUGAGUAUGACAUGGUACUAUAUGAUACAAUUUAACACAAUGUGGAACUUUACAGUUCAAUAUGAUGUAUAACAUAUUAUGCUAUAAUACACUUUGCUUUGAUAUGAUAUGAUACACGUUAUGAUGGGAUAAAUAGGGUGUGAUAAAAUUUUAAACAAUAAAAUUUGAUACUAUAUAAGACACAAUGUGAUAUAUAACCAUACAAUAAAAUAUGACAGUAUGACACAACUUGAUCUGAUUUGAUAAACUCUGCGGCUUCAGAGGAAAAACUGUAACAUCAUUUUUAUUCAAAGGCCGUUAUUAUAACUUACUUUAAGGCAAAAAACAACCCCAGUUUCUAACACAACAACAAAGGCAUGACUACAUCUGUAACAAUUUAUGUGUUCUUGUUCUUGGAACCUGCACUUUAAACUCAUAUUUUAUUCAUCUGACUAAGAAAGACACAAAACAAAAUGCAGAGUCUGGCACCGCUGAGCUGCUCUUCUCUGUUAUGUGGGAAAAAGCCGAACACGAUGAAGAGGACAGUCCUCCAGAAUGAUGAAUGCUGAAGCGCUGGCUCUGCUGCUUUUUCCAUUUAUCUUUCUUUGUUAAUCUUUUUUUGGUUCUGAUAUUCUCAUCCCUCUACUUCAAAUUCAUGUCGAGGACACACAAAGUAGGAGUUUUUUUUCUAUAUAGCACUUUGUAGAAUAAAAACCACACAGCUACUGCUAAAGAAACAGCUGACUGAAUCAGUAAUCAAUAUGACAACAUGCUGACUAUUUGCUUUUGAAAAAACUCAAAAGCUGACCUGCAAGCCAACUUCUCUUUUAGACGAGGUUUUACAAAUAGAAAUUCUCAACUUUCAGACUUUUCUCUACGCUCCCUGUUGCUACCAACGUUGAAUACAGCACAGAAUACACACUGUUUUCAACACUUAAGUGAUUUUUUUCCACACAUGGUCUUUGAUUACAUUCUGAAAUGAACCAAAACAGCUUUUUUGCAAUACUUCCCCUCAGGGAUCAGAAGCUGUUUUAACUGUAGACCAUUGCACCACAGUUAAUGUGAAACACUGCAGAUGCAGAAACUAAAGAUUAAAGUAAAUGAGGAGAGUAAUUAUCUUUGUGCAAGAAAAACCCUCCUGGAUGCUGUAUUUAAGUAUAACUCCAGCUGACUUAUGAACCAUAAGCUGAAGACUCCUCUAAGAAAUCCACAGCAUGCAUGCAUACUCAGUGAUACUGAUAUACUGGAGUUGAAUUACAUUUUUAAAGCUACUGUAAGGAACUUUUAGUGCAGCUCAUCUUGUCCUCUACAUGCUUGAGUUGUGACUUCUUACAAAAUAAUCUCACCCCCCUGGCAACUUUUGAUAGUCAAAUGUGUCUUUAUUGUGAAUACUUUACAUAGAAAUGAUAAAAACGUGACUCUUUCCUUUAGCUGCUCGGCUACACCUACCCCCUCGCACCAGUUUAGUGGAGCAGAUAAGUGACACAAUUGCUCAGUUGGUGAUACAAGCAUGAAAAUUGGCAUGAAAAUUCUUCAUUGGUCACUUUAUUAGGAAAUUAUUUAUUAAUUAAUUUAUUUAUUGAAAUUUCAAAAUGAUGGCCAUUUUUUCAAGAUGGCCGCCACCUAAGAUGGUGGUCAUUUUAAAGAUGGCUGCCAUCUUUUUGCCAGGACUACUUCCCCUUGUUAACCUUUCCCUUGUCAGAAAGAUAAAAAAAAGUUAGAAAAAAGGUACAAAAAACAAAAAAGUUUUUAAAAAAAAACUCCCUUGUGACUGUUACCUUGAUGUGGUAAGGGAGUUUGCAUACUUCUGUGAACCCUAAGAGCUAUGCCAUGAGCUACGCCAUUAGGAGGCAACUCCUGGCAGGUUUUACCAAAUUGGAGAGGUUGAGGUCGAGGAGUUGGACAAAACACAAACAAGCAUUUUUUGGUCUUUCCAAUUUUCACGUUUAUAUCACCAACUUUACAUGAUAUCACUGCUGUAAUGAGAUGGCGGCCAUCUUUUAAAUGGUCACCACCUUGAAAUUUUAAGCAGCUUGGGGCAUUUUCUUGUGAAGUUACUCAUGGAGAAUGGUCUUACUAUUUUUCAUGUUUAUAUCACCAACUUUACACCAUUUGACUGCUCUAACGAGGCCAUCUUAGAAAUGGCUGCCAUCGGGAAACUUCAAGCAGCUUGGGGCAUUUUCUUGUUAAGUGACUCAUGAUGACUGUUUAUACCAAUUUUCAUGGCUAUAUCGUCAAUUUAACGAGUACAUCACCUAACUGUUACACUUAGGUGGCGACGGUCUUGAAAGAUGGCAGCCAUCUUGAAAUUUCAAAUGGCUGGGACACUUUUCUAGUCAAGUGACCCAUGGAGAACGUUCAUGCCAAUUUUCAUGCUUGUAUCACCAACUGAACGAUUCUGGCUAAAAUUUGUACUUGGCCGCUGCACUACUUUACCAAAAGUUCGGAUUAAAAAUUGUCAAUCUUGUUGGUAAUAGUUUGGUUUGAUUUUGGAUAUCAUUAAAAAAGCAUCAGUAUUAAUGUCAGUCUGUGAAAGCUGUGAAAAGUCAGAUGCAAAAAAAAAAGGAAAACAAAAACUAAAUGAUGAGAUAUUUAGUUUUCCCUCAAAUCUGAAUAAAUGGGACUUAGUUGUAACCAUGGAAAUAGUUCGUUCUCUGAAGAAAAAAACAGUUAUCACAGUUUUACAACCACGGUUCAUCAAAUGUUGCCUAAAAACUGCAAACAGUGGGCAUAAAUUAUGAAACUGUGAGCGGUUUGUGAACCAAAAAUUCAGAUUUUUUUCUUUGCUAGCGGUCUCUACUUUUCUUUUAAACAUAUUCAUACGCUUUCUGAUGUAAGUCUGAUCCUUGUUUUUGCCAUUGUAGAUGGAAAAUAAGAGUGUGCAGAGGAAACUAUAACAAUAAAUAGGAUUUAUGACUUCCUAAAAUGAAUGUGGCACAAACAAAAUUGUCCAUUUUCAUGGUCUGCGCUGGAAUCAGAAGCACCUUAACUUCCUUAUUCACACGGGGACGACUAACCUGAGCAACUGAGACUUCUCUCUGCUUUAUUGUGGCUGACACGUCCACUUUAUACACUGCUGGAGAAAUAUCCCAUAUUUUUCAGUGUUUCCUAUCCUCCAUGACUGACACACACACAGAGAGAGACUGAGCUUUCUGCUGGAGAAAAAUGAUCAUCUUCGACCUCGAAAACGCUCGUCAAAAAUCAUAUUGAAAUGACCCCAAACCCACUCAUGAUGCAGAUAGAAGCAUUUGCCUUUUCUCUCUCUAAUUUAUUCCCCCUCUCUCCGUCUCUCUCUCUUUGGCUUCUGUCAACAGUGUCUGAUAUCAGAGUGAAUCUGAAAACUUGCCAUUAGCAUUCAGGAGGGACUGCGUCUUUUUGCAUGUGAAUAAACAGCUAUCAAAAUUACAGUGGGACUCUGGAGAGGUUCAGAGAUUAAACGCUUACACUGAUUGACACUUUCUGAUCCCAUUUGGAACAUUCAUUUGAAUAACCCAGUGUUUAUUUCAACCUCGUGACAGUUGGCACUCUAGACGGCAGACAGAAUAGCCUUCGAAAGGAUGAUCCGGGCUGAACCGCUCAUGUUUGCAAGCAGGAGUUCACAGCCGCUGAAGAGCUGCAUGUUUAAGCUUAAGCAUUGUUAUAUAGAUUCACCCUUUUUCAGCCUUUGUCUGCAACACAAGUACACUUACCGUCUGUUCUCUCUCCAGACUGUGCUUAGAAUAACUUUAAAUACGUAAACUUUUGACUAAACUCGCUCUGUUUGUCAAGAUAAAAUACAGUUAAGACCCUUUUUCUCCAAGGUUGACGCUGAGAUUCAGUCACAUUUAUCCGCCGCCUCGCUCAAAGGCAACCAGACUCCGAUAAACAACACGCACACAUCAGCCAGACACUCUUUAUUUAAUCAUGACAUGUUUAAUAAAUGCUCUUUCUGAAUCUUAAAACGUGUAUAACUAAUUAAUCAACGUUCAUAAAGAAGUUGAUGAAAAGUUUAAACUAUUUUCUCAAGAAAAAAAAGUUCUUGGACGUAAUGUGCGAGUGAAGCUGAGAAGCAGAAUAGCGAUUGAAUUGGUGUUAUAUCAGGUAAACAUAUUAAAUAAUGAACACAGAGUGUCUGUAAAUUAUUGAAGUAUUUGAAAAAUAGAGAUGCUGAGAUUUACCAGUUACAGCAGUGUAAAUACACACUUAUAAUGGUGGCUCUUCAUAUUGGAAUAGUGGAAAUAAAUGCAUGUGAAGGCUGUCGCAAUAUCACGUUUUCACCUCAGGAUCGCAAGAAAAAGUUAUAGAUAAAAACAACUUGAUAAUUGUUGUGAUAAUUAUGUAAAACUAAAUGAAAAAAUUAACGCAAGACAAGUUUAGUGUCACCAGCCUUGCAUGAGAUUUCUUUGGAUCACUGAUUGCCUUGUGAAAUGAUUGUUGGCCGUGCUUUUAUUUUGAAAUUUUAAUAGUCUUGAACACUUUAUCUCCCGUAUUGUGAAUGCAUCGUGCGUAUAUAUCCAGAGACCUUUAACAUUAUAAAUUACAAUUCUCAUGGGUGAGGCUGCUGUGUAAUCCACCCAUCAGUAAUACUGAGGUAGACAUGCCCUCGAGAGAUGAACGUUGCCGACCGCUUGCUUCUCUAGUUAAACCAACUUUAGUAACGACCGCACGAUAGCAAUACACAGCGGUCUGAGGAGCCAUAAACAAACCUCAACCAAAACGCCACUCUAUAGCCACAAAUAAUGCUCAGAACAGCACCUAACUUCAUCAACAGUACAUAUAGGGUCCAAGUCACAGCACCAGCUACUAAACAUCUUUUUAACUUUGACUGAUUUCUUUUGCAAAGAGACUAAACACAACUCACCCACUCUCUCCCAGCAGCCUCUUGUUUGUAGCAAGACCUCGGGCCAGUCCAUUAUGGACUACAGCGGGGUGACGCAGCUCAAGGAAGAACAUUUAUGAUCAUUUCUUCAUCAUUUCCUUGAAGUAAUAAUCAUCAUAUUAAUAAUUUUUGCACCGCAGACACGGUAGUUCUUCUGCCUUAGCGUCUCAGUCUGAUUACAUUCCCAUUAAGACAUUAUUAUGCCAGAAUAUCCCUUUAUUCUGUCCUGCUGUAGAAAAUUGCAAAGAUACUCUUUAUUUUGACCUGCAGCUAGUGAAGCUCCUGUCAAGUUUUAGACCUCGUCUAGCUGAGCAAAUGUUACUAACUAGAAGACUUGAAGUGUAAGCACAGGCAAAUCAUCUCCAGGUCGCUCCUCUGAUUUAUGAAUUCAGACGCGAGUGUGCCUGUGAGGGAUAAACAUGAUGUUGACAGCUCCCUCAGUGUCGGAUACUGAAGCGUCUGGGCUGUAGCCUAUGAUAAUGAAGUGUUGUUGUCUCGGCUAACAAGCGCUCGCUAACCACUGCCACCGCCGCUCACCCCGCUUUUGAGUCCCUGAAACCCUUAACAGCUCACAAUCACAAGGCCGGCAUGUUAGCUUGUUAUGUGAAUAAUGACUCAUUGGCAGCAGUGGUGGCAUGACACUUGUGUGAUCAUGGCUGGAGACUUUACUCUCCCUCCCUCCGGGUCUUUGUUUCGCAGACACAUUUACACGCUCUCACAGAGGAGAUUUUCAGAGUGUGACUUCUGUAUCCACUCUCUCUCUGCAUCACUAAUGCCGCUCUGUUUGCCUCAGCAGGAUUUUUAUUGGCUCCCCUUGCACACACCCGGGCAUCAUUCACCACAGCAAAUGAAUCUAUGGGCUGUGAAAUCAUUUAAGGUCUGUAAUGAUAAGCUAUCACAAAUCUGCUCUGGCUUUUGUAGCCAUAAAACACACAGAUAGACUUAGCAGUGUGAAUAUGCUGACACCUCAGGGUUUGAAAAGCUGCAAAGGCAGAGUUUGGGAUGCUCUGCACCGCCUCUUGUUUUCUCCUGAUCGUGUUUCUUCAGAGCCAGUCGAGACUUUAAUGAGAGCCCAAAAUCACCCAAAAGAUACUCAUCCUCAGUCUGUGAUGGGUAAGGUGCAUAUUUAAUUUCACAUCCAAACAAAUUGUCUUAAUUUCUAUAAGGCCAGCUACAGAAAAAGAGUUGGAUGCUUUAGUUUUAAGUUGCAAGAUGACUGUAAUGCACAUAAAAUCUAAUGGUACAAGUUUCUCUUAUAAACAAUUUCCACCUGAAGCUAUCCCCAAUGUUAUUUUCAGAGCUUUUGCAAAAGAACUUUAACUAUAAAUGCGCAAAAACUGCAACCUGUUUACCCGGGUAGAUCUAAAACACAAGCUCUGAGUAUUCCAUAAGGUAUAAAACACAAUGCAAGAGCUCACACUCUCAGUUAAAUAAUUAGCCCCAGUGCGACGCUCCGUUCCUGACACAAGAUAACACUAUUACCCUUAAGGGUAUUCUGCUCCCUGUGGGACCCUGACGGAGAAGCACAAGUUUUAAAAAUACACAUAAUUGGAUAAUUCAUACAUAAACAAAAAGAAAAGACCUCACAGACCAUCUCAAAGACCAACCGUUUUAUACGCUGUACUAUACUGUAUCCUUUGUGGAGGUAAUAGGCUCAUGCUGAGAUAAAGAAGAUCUACUUUGCUCAUUUUUAUCUUGCAUUAUGUCAGUCAGGGAAACGGUAUAGUGGCGCAAAGUUCUUAUACUGGCGCCAUGAAAAUCAUACUCAUUCAGCUUCUGUUUUUCAUUGCUUUAUUUUGGCUGUUUUUUCAGUGAUUUAAUGUAACCCUGAAUAUCCACCAGCGAUUUUCGCCGUCCGCCAAUUCCUACUGGAUUGUAAGGCGAAUUUUGUGGCGGAUUACGGACAGCAGGAAUCGCGUGCAAUCGCGUGAUAACGAGUUGUCUCUGUUAAGACAACCACAUAAACAUAUUAGCAGUAGAUUGUGUCCUUCCAGAGGAGGAAAUCCACUUCUCGACUUGUUCGUGCCCGGAUGUUUUAUUUUGAGUCUGUGCCUGACCUCCUUUCCAGCACGGGUUAAUCUGUGCUUAAUUUAUCCAGCAUGCUCUGAAGUCCAGAAAAAAUAGAACUCUUGCGAUCAGCUGUGGAGUCCGGCGAUCUGCAGCGAAACGGAAAAAAGACGGUGGAAAUUGGCACAUUGACUUGAAUGGUUACGAUCAGCUGCAAUCGGUGGAUACGGCCUUUUCGUAGCCGUUCUGGAUGCGGUGAUGACCAAGAAGUUCUGUUUUAGUUUUAGUCGUCACAGGAGUAAUCACUGAUGAGCACAAUUGGCUGUUAUCGUCCUGACACCAUAAAUCUUCCCACAGUUUCCAGGAGCCUACGUCCUUCACAACCAGAAAAACACUUCAAUGCGUCUUUGAGAUAACUUUUUACUUUUGGGCGAGUGAACCACAUGGAUACACUCAGUCGUACUUAAAGAAUCAGAAUGAAAAGCUGGUUACCAAAAGUCAAAACUGUGAUCGGCACCAAUUAUGAGUCCUCAAGUCGUGAUACUUCUCUCCUCCGGCAGCUCCUCUCAUUCACAGCCUGUGUGUGACUUAUGUGACUGAUACCCUCGGGUGAUUCAUUACUCUGUUGCCGAGGACUGUAUCGCCGUUCCAUAAUUCUUCUCCCCCUCCCCCUGUGCUCUGUAGGUGGCUCAUUGCAGCCUCCUCACACUGUCUUUUGGGGAAAAGCGACCGUCUCACUGGACUCUGGUAUCUCAGCGUCCAUCUGUCAUCAGCGGUCAGCCUGGUUUCACAGGGUGUCAGGGGACAUCAGGCGUGGGUGGACCGCCUCGCAGGGUACUGCGAUGACCUCAUAGUUUGCGCUCACAGAUACAGAGCCGCGCGCAGAUUGGAGAUAUGUCAGAAAAGCAGCAGGUCUGAGCAGAUAUCAGCUGUAAAUGUUGUGUGACUGCGUGGAGCGGCCACUGAUGGUUUUCACGGCCUCAGCAGUUAUCAGGCAGUGCAUGAUGGGACAUGACUAAGGACUUGAAGUCUCAAGAUAUAACUCAGGACCAGAGUGCAAUGAUUGGACAGUAAAUACAGGAAUAUGUGGGAAAUAAAGCGGGAAACAAACAACAGAAACCACUGAUAAUUAUUUCCUGUUGCAAAACGUUGUUGAAUCUUGGUUACAUGAUGAUUAUGAAGAUGUUUUUUUUAUGUUUUAGAAAUGUAAAAUUAAUUUUAGAAAGCCGCUUUAAGUCCAAAUUAGAGUUUCCUUCGAUAUUGUUAUUUAAAGGUACUCCAAAAUCCGUUAAAGUUACCAUAUUAUGAAUAUUUUUUAUAUGUAUUUAUUUAGCAAUCCUAAAAUGUGGGUACAAAAAGCCUCUGCACUGAUUCUGUAGCUCACCUACUUGGAGAAAAUAUCCUCUAUUGGACAAUUUGAAUGAUCUCCUGUGGUGACAUCACAACAGGAGGGAUUUGCAUAGGCAUGCAUGCAAAACCGCUACCUGCUGUUCAGGUACUUUCUACUGUGCUGUUGUGGUUUUGCCUUGGUUUGCAGGUUAAAGUGUCAUGCUUAGUGGCAGCCUCUCCCUUCUCUCUUUUCUUUUUCCCCAGGUGGGCGUGAGGGAGGUGUGUGAAGCGCAGACAGGUGCAGGAGAUUGGUAACCACCAGACUCUCCAAUUGUCAUAAAACCAGACCACAACUCUGAUCCUGAACUGAAUUUUGAUCAACCUUGCUGCCUUUUUUUGCACCCUGGAUGCUAAUCCUUUGUUUUGUUUUUUUAUCACAGUUUCCACCCUAACCUGCCUGUUUCAUUCCGCUCACCUGCUGGACUUGUAAAUCACUCAGCCACGCCACACACCUCCUCGGCCUGCCUUCCCUCAUCCGGUUUGUUCAAGUCAGGGUAGUUGUAAGUCUUGUAGUGUGUUUGUUUUCUUUUCAGUUUGUUGCCUGGUUAGUUACUUUUCUGAGUUUGUUUUUUUAGCUGCUAGAGACUUCAGCUUCUCUGAGAUAAGUUAGCUUAGGUGUUUUCAUUUGUAGAAGUUUUUUUCCUUGCAG
rnacentral:lncRNA from 1 species